AUUAGGAGUACUGCAGUGUAUAUAUUAACUCCAUAGAAAAAUGGUAAUGUUUUAAUCGACAUUUUGCAAAUCGUCACGACUCUAACGUUCUUCAUGCGAUGUCCGCUAAAUUAUACUGAAUGUGUCAGUUUAACUUACCGUGGUUGAUUCGUUUCAUAUUUUCAUUUUAAAAACACUGUACCUAAAUUAAAUGUUACUAAUCUAAUUUUGUUACAUCAAUAGCUAGUUAUGAAAUAAUAUUAUUGACUGGACGUUACCGUUGUGUGAGGAAAUAUCAAAAUUCACUACGAUUCACUUAUAAGAUGAUGUUUUUUUUCAAAUAUUUUAUGGUUUCGAUUGUUAUUAUUUGUUUUUUUUUCAUUUUAUCAACAAGAUCUUGUAAGGAAAGUCAUUUUUGUUGGAAAAAACACAAAAAAGCAGUCAUUAAAUGUGGUGGAGCAAGUAAUACGUAUUUUGUGCCCUACGAAUACUCGUACAAUUGCUAUUGCUGUAAAGUAAAACCGAAAGGUAAGUUAAAUAAAAAGUAAAAAUCGUUCAUGAAAUCAUAGUUGAGUUUAGGUGAAUAAGUGAUAUUAUUAUUUUAGAAAUAUUUAUCGUAAUACUAGUGCAAAGGUUAAAAUUGUUCCUAAUAAUUAUUGUUUAUUAAUAAUUGCAGCUUAAAAUAAAAGAAUACACAUUUUAAUACCAAAAUAUAUAAAUAUUUUAUGAUUUUUCAUUUAAUAACCCAUCUGUAAAUGAUUUGAUGAUUGUGUUUACUGCGGAAGUUAUUUUGUAUUUAAAUAUGUAAAGUCAUUAUUAUGUUUAAUAUAAUUGUUUAAUACCAGUAUGGCUGUAUUACGUAGUUAUAUUAUUUAAAAUAGUUAUCAUAAUUAUUAUUUAUUUUUAAUUUAUGCAUUUUAGAUAAUCUAAUGUAUUUUAUUGAACAACUACUAUUUUUUUUGUUUUAUAAAAAAUAUUAAACAUUUGUACUUAACUUGUAAAUUUUAAUAAAUUUAGUAAUGUAAUUUUUGUUUGUAAUCAGCUAUCUAAUGUUGGUGUAACUUGUAAAUUAUAAUCAGUUGCAAGUGUACUGUUACCUGAUAAACCCUAAUUAUAGUUUAUUAAAAUUUAAAAUUAAAUUAAUUGAUUUUGAAUUAAACCUUUCAAGUUCGAGAAUGUUUUUUACACAAUUUUUGUGUUGGCCCGAGUAAGAAAUAUAAAUAUAAACAUAAAUAUAAUAGCGAUCGAUACAUUAUUACACAGUCAUAAUGUUGUGUGUUUUUAAAACUAAAGAAUAGUUUUAUAAAAAAGCUCAUUUCUGAGAAUUUUAUUUUAAAAUUCCAUGAAAAUAUCUAUAGGAAAUCCUAAUUAUGAAGAGGACUCCGGUUUGAUUUCUGGUCCAGAGCAAAAAUUUCUAAUAUUUGUUCUUUUGGGUGGGAGAAGAAAAAUAUUUUCAGUAAAAUAUUUAUAUAGUACAAUUAUAAUAAUUAUAAUAAUAUAUUAUUUAUAAUAAUUUUAAUUUUAAUUUUUUGUACAACACCUUUUAAUCGACUAAGUGUUGUUAUUUCAAUUUAAGUAACAAUAGUGUAUAAGUUGAAGCUAAUGUCCACUGCAUAAAAGUUGACUUGUAUUAGGUAGGCGUAUUGUUAGUUAAUAAUAAUGGGAUUACUACGAUUUUUAGUUAAUAAUAAUUUUUGAUCAUAUGCUUAAAUUUGUAGAACAUAUCUAUUCAGUAAAUAAUAUAAGCAUAGAAUUAUUUUAUAAAUUUAAAAUACUAUGUAAUAUAUUAGACUUGAAAACUUUUAGAGUAUUUUUAGCUUCAGCACAAUCUGUCUACUUAUAUGGUUUAUUGGUAUGGGGUGGUACUUAUUCUAGCCAUAUUAAUGUCUUAAAUAUUACUAUUAAUUCUUUAAUUGAAAUUAUUUUAAAUAAACCUAGAUUAUAUUCAACUAUUUUAUUGUAUUCUGAUCUUAAUAUUUGAACUUUUAAUUUGCAAUAUGAACGUCAAACUUUAUUGUAUAUGUUUAAAAUUGAAUCUAUUAUUAGUGAUUAUCAACCAUCUCAAGCUUAUAAUACAAGAUUUAAAAUCAAUAACUUAACAUAAAUGCAAUUUUUAAUAAAACCAAAUUUGGGAAUUAUAGCCCUAUAAUUAUUUUAUUAUUUUUAUUAUUAUGAUUUUAUUCAGG
rnacentral:lncRNA from 1 species